CGGCGAUGUUUUAACUAACGAUAAUGCUUACCGGGGCAUGGACUUGGCUAAGCAAUCAUGUGGUAGCAGUUUGGUCAUUCCGGUUCCUGAGGGGUACCGUUUGGUUUGGUUUCUUGUUCAUCUUUUAAUGUCGAGCCCCUUUAUUCACUCCCCCUUUUUUGUGGUACAUGAUGACUUUUGGCCUAGCAGUGUUCCUCGCUUCUCCGCCCUCAUGCCGAGUGUGAGGAAGGUAAUUUCAAAGAGACGGAAAGUGGUUCUGCCUCCUGCCGGUAGCAGCGAGAUAUUGGCGUUCUCGACAACCACAUAGUCGUCACCACUGGUCGGGGUCACCGAGUGGACUAAAGGGUCGUAGUCACUCUAGC
rnacentral:misc_RNA from 1 species